rnacentral:pre_miRNA from 1 species
GAGACACCCUUAUGGGGCAGGACUUGCUUCAGUGGGGCUUUGGCCCCACUGAGUCUGCCCCCCGAGUGUGUCUCU